GGGUUAGAUGGAGAAGGGGGGUUCAUUUCUUUCUGAUAGUGACGGCCUUGGUUCACAGGCUGAAAGAAACAAAACAUCUGUGAGGCGGAAACCCAUCAGCUUGGCGACCUUGGCACACACCCUCGCAUCAGUCCUCAUUUCUGAUGUUUUGAUAUCAACGGUUCUCAUUUUUUGAGAUCUUAUUUCUGAUAUUCCAUCUGCAGGAGAGAGCUGCGUCCCCUUCCCAGCGUAGGCAGAGGCUCUGGGAGACCCAGCAAUCCCAGGGUGGCAUAACCCACAGAACGCAGGCCACUUUAAAGGGUUCCGUAGCAUCUGUGAUGUAAACAGAGGCCUCCCUCACAUGAGAGCUCUCCGUGUGGAAUCUUUAGGCUGUUGCUGCUUCUGGAGACAGCAGAGGAAAACAAGGUCUCCUGCUGAAAGCACUGGCAAUGGCUAGAGGUGCAGCAAAACAUAUUUAUGUCUCAGGGCCAGUAAGUUGGCGAGGACCACUCUGUUGCCGUUAGCUUGGACUGUUCAUGUGAAUCUCAGGUCCCACCCCCAAAUGUAUACGAAAACUGUGAGCAUGGAUCAGAAUGAGCUGACAAAGUGGUGCUAGUAAAAAUGGGGACUCUCUAACCCCCCCCACAAUAAACCUUUCCUCAUUUCUUGAAACACAACUAAGAAACACACAAAAAACAAGACAGAAAAACAAAUGAAUGCCAAUAAUAAAACUUGAUUUUCUUCCUCUUUGAGGAGAAAGUUCGGACAGCUAAUACCAACUCCAUUUUGAGGAUAAUUCUAAAUGUUUUCCUAACGUGGCUAACAAUGACAAAAUUCUAACAUGGAAACCACAUUAUUUUGGCCUUCUUGUUUUACCACACGGUGGAACUUGGCAUGCAUUUGUGAAGUGCAUUCAGAACUCCUGCUCCCACAGGGGUUGCUAAGGCCCCUUCACCCUAGUGAGGAGAUGUGGUCCCAUGGUGCAGAGGUGCAGAGACCAAGCUAAGAUGUGUCAGUCACCCAUGUGAGAAUCAUGUCACUUAGCCUGGCUACCUGCGAUGCACCAUGCAUUUCGGUGCUCUCAGAUAAUUUGGUGAGUGAACGGCAGGCAACACCGUCACGGUAAUCAGAAAUAACAGCUGGGAGAACAGUGGAAGGGAAAUAUGUCAUAAGGCAUAACUCAUCUCACCAGAGAAAUCAAAAUUUCAGCAAUUUGCAAGUGAAAUUUAGUUGGCAAUUUAGGCUUUAUUAUUUAGAGCGAGAGCUGCUUCUCUGGAUCAGCUUGCACUGGGAUAGGAAAUGUCCCAAUGAUGCCGUCGUUGGCAUCCACUGUGCGUCUGCAGCACUGAGGCCUCUGGUGAAUGGACUUCUGCUUAUUUAUCUCCACAUGCACUUCCAGAACUUUCUGGGUAGGUAUCACAGCUCCAUAACCGAGCAAAUGUCCACCCCUGAAUUUUAUAGCCAUUGGUUCUAUGUAAACUCAUUCCAAGCCCUUAUUCCAGAUGCUGUCUUUCCUUCCUUGGAAAGCUCUUUGCCCUGGGCACACUAGUUCUUCUCAGUGAUCCAAGGGGGAAGAAAGGCACAUCCAAUAAUGACUCACAAUAGUGUUUGGAAACAUUCAAUAACAGCUUUUCAGAGAAGGAAAAACUUCAUAUGCAGAGGUAUGUCUGCCUGAAGUCAAAUGUCAUCAAGUUGACUUUAUGGGGCUGAAGACCUGCUACCCCACCUGUGGUAUCUUGCAUUGAGAAACAGAAGCAGUGACAAGGUUGCACAUCCCUGCCCUUGCUCUUUACCUCAUACAACUGAGGAAGGAGUUUGUGGUGUACUCCUAAACCUUAUGUGAUCCUCCCUGCACCCAGAAGAAAGGAUCCCCCUUAUCUCAAGAAGGUGCAGGAACACAGGGGAGAGGCUGAUCAAAAGGCCUUGCUAAGCUCUCCUGGUAUCCUUCCAGUAGAUCAUAUCACCUUUAUUAAAUCAUAGUUCUCCAUGAAUUUCCACUCUGUCUAAUCUAGCAUGACAAUAAGCAAGAGACCAUUUCUCUUGGAAAAUUCAAGUGUAAUCAUUUCUCUGGGUCUUCCUUUUUUUUCUUUUUGAGGGUUCUUGUGUCAUGAAACACGUAUGAAAUUUAUUUGUAGGCUUUAAAAAAGAAAUGAAUCUGUCUUCUAUUAUAAAUUCUCAGCCAUGGACCUAAGGUGGGUAGUGAAGGAGACAUUUUCCCUUUCCUGGGUUUCUCCUAUAGACAUAUCAAUAAGUUUGUUUUUUGGGUAGGUAACAUCCUGUGACGGUAUCUGUGAUGGUCAAAUAAAAUCAAGGUUUGAUUUUGGAAUUUAGCCUUACGUGCAGAAUACUCUAAGUAUUCUUAGAGUAUAAUGCAAAAGGCCAUUGCUCAUGCCCAGAAGUAACAACACCAACUCCAAUAGCAGCAGCAACUUACUGGUGUCUACGAACACCUACGAGGGCCACAGCAGUGACGCAUAUUUACCUCAGUUACCUCGUGCUAAUUCUCGAGAGGGAUGAUCUCAUUUGAGCCCCACUGCAAGCCUGUGAACUACAUAUGAUUAACUCAUUUAUUAGAAGAGGACAUUCUGCUACUAGUAUUAACCCAAGACCGUGCUUGCCAGGACACGGUGCAGCUAGGAUCUGUACCCAUUCGUGAGACUCCAUCUCGGCACUAGUUUGUUUGUAUUGUUUAAUGCAGCUUGGGAAUUCACGCAGAAUGUGGAAUGCAAUGUUUCUGAAUAACAACCUGGCAGGAUCCAUUCAGUAUACGGAAAGGAAAAAGGAAGCAGUCCCAAGAUACAUUUGUCUGAAGCAUACGAGACUGUCCGAUUUUUAUAAAUUAAGUUCACUUGAUUUGACACUCACAGCAUGUCGCUAUAUAUUUAAAGUUAACAUCAGUAAGAUUUUAAGCACACUGAUGAACGUGGGCCUGUUAUAUAUAGUUGAGUUAUAUCAGGCAACACACACUCGGAGAAUAAGGACCAUUCAUAUUGUGAGGUGACUUUUGUAGUCGCUAGCCAUAGAACAACUUGCACAUAACCAUAUUUUCUCCUGACAGCACAGAAAUGACCGUGACUCUAAUAUCAGUUUCCUCGUAUCAUUUCUCAGUUUCAUCUGAUUUUAUCUACAGUGCAGCACAAUCAAAACCCUACCUUCCUAGUUUACCCAGAUAACAAACAAGCCUGGCAUAUCCUGCAAGAGCUGAGGAACUAAUGAGUCUGUGGAUGAGAAGAAAUUAAGACCCAUUAGGGCCCCAGUCCGUGUGCACGGCCCCAGGAUGCCUGCUUAGCUCCAGGAGCCAUGAGAAGAGGAACUUGAAGAACUCCUGCCAGGUAGCAGGCUCCUAACAUGGAAAGGCCCUUUGGGGCUGGCUCAGCAGCUAAUGGUGCUUUCCACAGAGCCUGACAACUGGGCCCAGUCAAUCCCUGGGACUGCCAUGGUGGAAGAGAACUAAUUCAGCCAGGCUGUGCUCCAACAUCCAUGCCCGUGCCAUGGUGCGUACCCCUCACAGAUAGAUGAACGUAAAGGACUUCUUUAAUAAAAAGUUAGCCACCCUGUAAGGCAGAGGAGGCGGUGGAAACAACCAAACCCAGACAAAAUCCAAACAAACAAGUGGGUGUGUCCCAAAGGGAGAGGUCAAUGGAAGAGCAGGCAGGCUGGCAGAGAACAGGGACAGGGGACACUGUGGCUGGAGCGCAGUGUCAUUCGCCUGUGCACAUGCUGGAUGGGGUGGGGCAGGCAGCCAGGGUGAGUCUCAAGUUCUAUGUGAGCUGAGGGAGAGGGCCUGAAGAGAAGGGUAUCUGGCAUAAGGAGAGACGCUGCUCUCACCUCCACAGUCUGCCUCUUUCUCGAAUCUGAAAUGCCUUCCUCUGUUUUGUCUACAUGUAAACUUGCACUCCUUCAUGAGCUCUGACCUAAGUGAGGACGUCUGACAGCGUGCCUGGGACCUAGAGGCCAUGUUGAUAUGGAUUGCUCCUUCCUAUACCUUCCCACAGUUCUUUGUCUCACUGACACUCAUCAUCCUGAAUCGCAGAGCUUCUGUCGCUCUGUGAGCAUCCUAAGGUGGGGACAAGUUUUAUCCCUAACAUCCCUCCUAGUCCCCACCACAUUGUACUGAAUAGGUGCGGAAUGAGCGCAUGCGACACAGAUGACGAAGUCUGGGACGGGAGGUGGACAUUUACUCCUGCUCUGGGCACAGAGGAAGAUAUGGCCUUCACAGUGAGGCCUAGAGUAGUGCCACCGAAAAUCCUGGAGCUGUCUGGGUGUCAAUCCGGAGCAAGGUACACGGAUACCCUCACCGUGCAGGUACAGAGCUGGAACUGUAACUUGGAGGGAAUGGUGGAGAGAAGGGGGAAGUGAGGCUGGGGUAGGGUGGUCUCUCAGAGUGCAGGAAGCCCUCUGCCUCAGACUCCAGAGGCAAUGGGAGUCACUGCUUUAGGGAGAACGGAGCGUGUGUGAAUAUCCACAGAGACCAGAAGAGGAGGUUGGGUCCCCUAGAGCUGGAGUAACAGGCAGCUGUGGGCUGCCUGCUGUGGCUACAACAGACUGAAUUCUGGCCAUCUGACAACUAAGGAUUUUACUAAGUGCUUAUUAUGUUUCAAAUUCAGCAGCAGAUGUUUUACAAGGCGGUAGGCCACCGGGUGAGUGCUCCUAACCCUUAGAUCAGAGGCAAGGAGAUGAGGUAUGAGAAAAGCCAGACAAACAGCACCGCGCCAAGUCCCUCUUCUGACCUCCGAGGAUACCAGGAGUGCACAUGCAGGAUGCGGAGUUCAUUACGGAAUGCAAUUUCCCAUUUGUUGCUAGUUCCAGUGGUGGAGCAAACCGAACUUGAUGAAAUAAUAAACACGUCCCAUGAAUCUGAAGGACAGCGAUGAGAACCCCGUAUCCAGGGCAACCAAGAGUUCAGACUUCUCAGUCCAUAAAUAAUCAUUCCCCGGCUUGCCCUCUGUACUCCUGGUCUCUGAGCCACUUUCUGACAAAAUGGGCUCCAUCCGGACGGAGGCUGCCACUCUUUCUCUAACUGGGGCUUAAAUGACUGCUGGGGAAUAUUCUAUAAAAAAGGCACCGUUUCACUUCUGUCUGCAACUGACUCUUGUAAUUUUUCUCUGGUGAGAGGAUGCUCUGUGGCCAGAGUCAUGGGGGCAUAGAUACCAUCUAGCACCAAGCUGCCUAGAAAGUUCUGGGUAUCCAUGGCUGCGUCUAAUGAGACCAGAUUGAGCAAGAGGAAGCUGGAGGCAGGGGAGACAGAGACAAAGGUCCCAAAGUGAGCACUGGUGGUAACUGUCCGCCUUUGAACCUCCUUAGAGACUUCUGGAUUCACUGUCCAUGAUGACUUGCAUGUUCUCUCAAGAGCACAGGAACCUUAUCUUCCAUUGGAUGCCUGUAGCACCCAUUUGACAAGCAACUCACAUAUUAAGAGUCAGGAAGACAGCCGGGCCACUUCUCAGGAACCGCAGUGUUCUCACAGGAAGUGGAAACGCUAGUGGCAGCUGGAAGGACUCAUGUAACUAACACAUUGGACUACACGCCAAGAGGCUGCCCAGACACACGAUGUCUACAAAACUGUUGGGGGGCCUGGAACAACUGGCAGAUAGCAAACAAUUACUUAUUAAAUAUGCAAAACUUAUCUUCUCUCUACUACAUUUGAACUUAACAUUAUGUAGGUUUAAAACGUAUCUUAAACAUUUUAAGGAUUUAUUGAUAUUUACUUAA
rnacentral:sRNA from 1 species